rnacentral:rRNA from 1 species
UGGUGGAGUGAUUUGUCUGGUUAAUUCCGAUAACGAACGAGACCUUAACCUGCUAAAUAGCCAGGCCGGCUUUUGCUGGUCUCCGGCUUCUUAGAGGGACUGUCAGCGUCUAGCUGACGGAAGUUUGAGGCAAUAACA